rnacentral:rRNA from 1 species
AACGUAGGAGGCGAGCGUUAUCCGGAGUUACUGGGCGUACAGGGAGCGUAGGCGGUUGGAUAAGCCCUCCGUGAAAUCUCCAGGCUUAACCUGGAAAGUGCAGAGGGGACUGUUCAGCUAGAGGAUGGGAGAGGAGCGCGGAAUUCCCGGUGUAGCGGUGAAAUGCGUAGAGAUCGGGAGGAAGGCCGGUGGCGAAGGCGGCGCUCUGGAACAUUUCUGACGCUGAGGCUCGAAAGCGUGGGGAGCAAACAGG